CAAAGGUCGUGCCUCCGGCAAAGAGCACUAGUCAUGUGACUGUUGGCAGCGGCAGAAGUGCAAAUGGAGAAAAGGUGCGAACAGAGCUACCUUGAUUCUGUGUCCAGGGAUGAAGAAGGAAGGUAUCAUGUCGAUUUGCCAAUAAACAAAGAACUUCUACCAAAACUAGGCAAAUUCGAGUGAAACCUCAGUAUCAAGCACUUCAGCGCAUCCUGUGGAGAGAUGAUCCAUCGCAUGAUAUACAGUGUCUUCAGCUGGAUACUGUUACAUAUGGAACAGCAUCAGCCAGUUACCUUGCUACACGGACAUUGGUGAAAUUGGUUGAGGAUGAAGGUGAUAAUUUUCCAUCUGCUUCUAAGGCAUUACUUCAAAGUACCUUCGUUGAUGACAUUUUGCAUGGCGAGAAUGAUCUUUCUUCUGCAUUAAAUACCAUAAAUGAGUUGCAAGAGUUGUUAGCUAAAGGAAGGUUUGAAUUGCACAAAUGGUACUCUAAUAGCUCAAUGUUAAUGUCGCAAUUUCCUCCUGAAAAACUUGA